GGGCCCGCACAAGCGGCGGAGCAUGCGGAUUAAUUCGAUGCAACGCGAAGAACCUUACCAGGGUUUGACAUCCUGCGAAUCUCUUGGAAACAGGAGAGUGCCUUCGGGAACGCAGUGACAGGUGGUGCAUGGCUGUCGUCAGCUCGUGUCGUGAGAUGUUGGUUAAGUCCCGCAACGAGCGCAACCCACGUCUUUAGUUGCCAGCAUUUAGUUGGGCACUCUAGAGAGACUGCCGGUGAUAAACCGGAGGAAGGUGUGGAUGACGUCAAGUCAUCAUGCCCCUUACAUCCUGGGCUACACACGUACUACAAUGCUACGGACAAAGGGCAGCAAGUUCGCGAGGACAAG
rnacentral:rRNA from 1 species